rnacentral:rRNA from 1 species
AUGAUCAGAGGCCAUUCUAUUAACUUGCUGCAGUUGUUUGAUGUUCCCCAAAGGUUCAAAGUGAUGAGCCUGAUUGUUGAAACAAUCAAGAGGACAGUUGCAGAUCAAAAGAGGUCAUGUGGGUAUGCUCCACACAUCCAAAUGCUCAUCAACUCCAACAUGGGCACAUGCACAUAUCUUUUGGACAAGGAACAUAUUCUCUUGAGGCCUUAUUUUGCGGACAAUACAGUUGCCAUGAAUGCUGAAGAGCCCACAUUUGCCGAGGCUCAAGAGAAGAGAGAGAAAGCAAAGGCUGAGAAAGCUGCAAAGAUGCCAAGUGUUGAAGAAGCAUCUCAAGUGUUUCUCAAAACCAAGAAAGAUCAACUUGGAUAUCUGAUUCAAGCCACCUUGAGGAUUGAGAAGGGUUUGGCCACCCUGACUCAGAACGAAGAGAGCCUGGAAAGGAUCAUUGAGACUAAAUUUUAUGAUCUUGAUCUGAAGGUGACAGAGAUGCAGACAACAGUUGAGCAACUCUAG